rnacentral:snRNA from 1 species
GUUACUGCAGCGGCACAUAUACUAACACUGGAAUGAUACAGAUAUCUGUAAGGCCCCUGCAUAAAAAUAACCCACAAGUUCAUGAAGUGUUCCGUAUUUUC